AGAAAGAGAGGAAGGGGAAAAGAAAGAAUCAGGGAUUAAAACCAGAAAUCAGACGGCAACUAAUUCCAAUGAAAACUAGAGGCUAGAACAAGAAACAAUGGGAAAAGGAUUGAAACUAAUAUUAAUUAAUAUUAAUGGGUUAAACGAUCUAUCCAAAAGGAAAAGAAUAUUUUGUAAAUUAGAAAAAUAGAAAUUUGAUAUUGUAUGUCUUCAGGAGGUCCAUAUUAGAUUACGAGAGCAGAUAAACUUACAAAAUAAAAAAUUGGGGAAACUAUAUUCAUCACUAUC